rnacentral:rRNA from 1 species
GUGGGGAAUAUUGGACAAUGGGCGAAAGCCUGAUCCAGCCAUGCCGCGUGUGUGAAGAAGGUCUUCGGAUUGUAAAGCACUUUAAGUUGGGAGGAAGGGCAGUAAGUUAAUACCUUGCUGUUUUGACGUUACCGACAGAAUAAGCACCGGCUAACUUCGUGCCAGCAGCCGCGGUAAUACGAAGGGUGCAAGCGUUAAUCGGAAUUACUGGGCGUAAAGCGCGCGUAGGUGGUUUUGUAAGUUGGAGGUGAAAUCCCCGGGCUCAACCUUGGAACUGCCUCCAAAACUGCAUGACUAGAGUACGGUAGAGGGUAGUGGAAUUGCCUGUGUAGCGGUGAAAUGCGUAGAUAUAGGAAGGAACACCAGUGGCGAAGGCGACUACCUGGACUGAUACUGACACUGAGGUGCGAAAGCGUGGGGAGCAAACAGGAUUAGAAACCCGGGUAGUCC